GCUGUGAUGGCCGAGAUGUUAAGGUGUUAGACUUGAAAUCCAAUGGGGUUUUCUCAUGCAGGUAUAAACCCUGCUUGCAGCA